UUGAAAGGGAAACGAUUGAAGUCAGUCGUACCGACGGAAAAUCAGCUCUUUGAGUGCGGACUUGUGGGUUUACGUGAGCUUUACGGCCUCGUUGUUUGCAAUGUUCGUUCUUUUUGGGUGUACUUUUUCGUAUGGUUGGCCAAUAUCAGUUUCGAUCGCUAUAAAAUGACCGGCGGAAUGUAGCUUCGAUCUCGUAUUGAAGUGUUAUAGCCUCUGGUAGAUGUGGUGAUUGGGACUGAGGAUUGCAACGAAUACCUUUUUGGGCUAUCCGUCUGAUCUCUGAAAGUUGCUUAGGUGCCGAAAGCGUGCUUACGGUUAUUUAAGUUGACGGUCAAAAGGUUAGAACGUGAUUAUAUUCGUUAAGGAUGUUGACGUA
rnacentral:rRNA from 1 species